rnacentral:tRNA from 1 species
GACCGCGUAGCUCAGUUGGAAGAGCAUUGGGCUAGUAUUCGAAAGGUCGUAGGUUCGAAUCCCACCGUGGCCG